GCUGGGCGUGGUGGCACACACCUGUAAUCCCAGCUACUCAGGAGGCUGAGGCAGGAGAAUCGCUUGAACCCAGGAGGCAGAGGUUGUAGUGAGCCAAGAUCGCACCACUGCACUCCAGCCUGGGUGACAAAGCGAGACUCUGUCUCUA
rnacentral:SRP_RNA from 1 species